ACAAAACUCAUACACUCCGAUUUGCAUAAAAGUAAGAGGGCACUAAAUAACGAACAUUCUUGAAAAAAUCGGGAUUUUGACCAAACUUAAUUUUUUCUAGAGGUUAUGAAGGGGUGGCAACUAUCUAAACUUAUGUUAGUGUAUACUCAAAAGUAUCCUUAAUAUCACUAUUAAAACAAAACUCAUGCACUCCGAUUUGCAUAAAAGUAAGAGGGCACUAAAUAACGAACAUUCUUGAAAAAAUCGGGAUUUUGACCAAAUUUCAUUUUUUUUAGAGGUUAUGAAGGGGUGGCAACUAUCUAAACUUAUGUUAGUGUAUACUCAAAAGUAUCCUUAAUAUCACUAUUAAAACAAAACUCAUGCACUCCGAUUUGCAUAAAAGUAAGAGGGCACUAAAUAACGAACAUUCUUGAAAAAAUCGGGAUUUUGACCAAAUUUCAUUUUUUUUAGAGGUUAUGAAGGGGUGGCAACUAUCUAAACUUAUGUUAGUGUAUACUCAAAAGUAUCCUUAAUAUCACUAUUAAAACAAAACUCAUGCACUCCGAUUUGCAUAAAAGUAAGAGGGCACUAAAUAACGAACAUUCUUGAAAAAAUCGGGAUUUUGACCAAAUUUCAUUUUUUUUAGAGGUUAUGAAGGGGUGGCAACUAUCUAAACUUAUGUUAGUGUAUACUCAAAAGUAUCCUUAAUAUCACUAUUAAAACAAAACUCAUGCACUCCGAUUUGCAUAAAAGUAAGAGGGCACUAAAUAACGAACAUUCUUGAAAAAAUCGGGAUUUUGACCAAAUUUCAUUUUUUUUAGAGGUUAUGAAGGGGUGGCAACUAUCUAAACUUAUGUUAGUGUAUACUCAAAAGUAUCCUUAAUAUCACUAUUAAAACAAAACUCAUGCACUCCGAUUUGCAUAAAAGUAAGAGGGCACUAAAUAACGAACAUUCUUGAAAAAAUCGGGAUUUUGACCAAAUUUCAUUUUUUUUAGAGGUUAUGAAGGGGUGGCAACUAUCUAAACUUAUGUUAGUGUAUACUCAAAAGUAUCCUUAAUAUCACUAUUAAAACAAAACUCAUGCACUCCGAUUUGCAUA